UGGCGGGCUUCAGCGCACCCUGCGUGUGAGCAGCUCACUGUUUGGCAAGGCGCCGAAGGUCUUGACGACGCUGAAAGUUGCUUGUUUUCUUUUUUCUGCAGUGAGACCACGGCAACUCGGUGACCAGCCUCUAUUUCCAUUUUUCCAAAGGCUGCCUUCAGUGCGCUCGUCGAGCUUUGGGAGGCAACGUUGCGCUUGUCUUUCUGUUUCUGGAGGGUGAGUUUAAGCCUAGUUUCAAGCGUGGUUGUUGCGUUGAAAUCUGUGCUUGUGUCAGCCCUAUGCCACGUUGAUGUCACUUGGAUUUUUGAGGGCGAGGAGGAAAGAGAGGUCGGGGGGUGGAGGAUGGUGAGUGGAGGGAAAGUUCUGUACAAGCGCGCGAUGAAGGUUGUAAAGACUUUCGUGGACGCCUCAAAGUCAUGCAAGGUGCUCUGAAUGCUAUCGGGCGUGCGUAGAAGUGGGUGGGCGUGACUGGCGGGAACAGAAUUUGUUGUGUUUUGGCAGUGCAAACUAGAAGGAGGGCGUGUAGUCACGCGCUCUGGUUCUCGAGCAAAGUCUCAUACCAUAUGCACUGGCUUUAUCGCUGACUCGAGGAUUUGCUGACGAGCGCCUUUCUACAGGCGUAAAGUGCAGCUCUGUACGGUGCUCUCUAGAUUGGAAGGAGGCGUGAGGAACUGAAGCGAGGAUGGGUCGGCAAAUGCAGCUCAGCCCUAGUGAUUUUCUUCUUUUAUUGUGCCGCUACGUCUCUGAAGCGAGAAUGACAUUCGCUGAGGGUGUAAAGUUGAAAACAACAAAC
rnacentral:misc_RNA from 1 species